GACGAACGCUGGCGGCGUGCCUAAUACAUGCAAGUAGAACGCUGAAGGAGGAGCUUGCUCUUCUGGAUGAGUUGCGAACGGGUGAGUAACGCGUAGGUAACCUGCCUGGUAGCGGGGGAUAACUAUUGGAAACGAUAGCUAAUACCGCAUAAUAUUGACUAUUGCAUGAUAGUCAAUUGAAAGGUGCAAAUGCAUCACUACCAGAUGGACCUGCGUUGUAUUAGCUAGUUGGUGGGGUAACGGCUCACCAAGGCGACGAUACAUAGCCGACCUGAGAGGGUGAUCGGCCACACUGGGACUGAGACACGGCCCAGACUCCUACGGGAGGCAGCAGUAGGGAAUCUUCGGCAAUGGACGGAAGUCUGACCGAGCAACGCCGCGUGAGUGAAGAAGGUUUUCGGAUCGUAAAGCUCUGUUGUAAGAGAAGAACGAGUGUGAGAGUGGAAAGUUCACA
rnacentral:rRNA from 1 species